GACGAACGCUGGCGGCGUGCCUAAUACAUGCAAGUCGAACGCAGUGGGGACGGGUGCGUAACACGUGGGUAACCUCCCAUCAGAGGGGAUAACACUUGGAAACAGGUGCUAAACCGAUACUGACGGCUGGACCAGCGGUGCAUUAGCUAGUUGGUGAGGUAACGGCUCACCAGGGCCACGAUGCAUAGCCAACCGGUGAGGGUGAUCGGCACCACUAGGACUGAGACACGGCCCAGACUCCGACGGGAGGCAGCAGUGGGGAAUCUUCGGCAAUGGACGAAAGUCUGACCGAGCAACGCCGCGUGAGUGAAGAAGGUUUUCGGAUCGUAAAACUCUGUUGUUAGAGAAGCGGUAUCUAACCAGAAAGCCACGGCUAACUACGUGCCAGACGCCAAGGUAAUAC
rnacentral:rRNA from 1 species